rnacentral:rRNA from 1 species
GGUUUUUUGUAAAAAAUAAAAAAUUUAACCUGCUCAAUGAUUAUUUAAAUAGCUGCAGUAUAUUGACUGUACAAAGGUAGCAUAAUCAAUAGUUUUUUAAUUAAAAGCUGGAAUGAAAGGUUUGAUGAAAUAAAAUCUUUUUUAAAUUUAAAAAUAAAAUUUUUUUAUUAGUAAAAAAGCUAAUAUAAUUUUAAAAGACGAGAAGACCCUAUAGAAUUUUAUAAAUAUUUAAUUAAAUUUAAUUUAAAAUAAUAAUUUUAUUUAAAAAUUAUUUGGUUGGGGUGAUUAUUAAAAGUUAAAAAACUUUAAAAUUAAUUAAAACAAUAAUUAUUGAAAAUUUGAUCUUAAAUUUUAAAUUAUAAGAAUAAAUUACCUUAGGGAUAACAGAGUAAUUUUUUUGGAAAGUUCAUAUUGAUAAAAAAGAUUGC